rnacentral:rRNA from 1 species
AGUGAACGCUGGCGGUAGGCCUAACACAUGCAAGUCGAACGGCAGCACAGUAAGAGCUUGCUCUUACGGGUGGCGAGUGGCGGACGGGUGAGGAAUACAUCGGAAUCUACUUUUUCGUGGGGGAUAACGUAGGGAAACUUACGCUAAUACCGCAUACGACCUACGGGUGAAAGCAGGGGAUCUUCGGACCUUGCGCGAUUGAAUGAGCCGAUGUCGGAUUAGCUAGUUGGCGGGGUAAAGGCCCACCAAGGCGACGAUCCGUAGCUGGUCUGAGAGGAUGAUCAGCCACACUGGAACUGAGACGCGGUCCAGACUCCUACGGGAGGCAGCAGUGGGGAAUAUUGGACAAUGGGUGCAAGCCUGAUCCAGCCAUACCGCGUGGGUGAAGAAGGCCUUCGGGUUGUAAAGCCCUUUUGUUGGGAAAGAAAAGCAGCAGGUUAAUACCCCGCUGUUCUGACGGUACCCAAAGAAUAAGCACCGGCUAACUUCGUG